GUCACGACCGCGGAGGGCGACUGUUUUGAGGAAGUUCCGUACAUUGGCGUCGUACCUGACAACCUGAAGAGGUUCUGCAGUGGGAUGACGAUCAUGAAGCAUGUCCGGGUAAACUGCACAGUAGAACAGGCCGGGCGGAAAAAAAGACACGUAGGCCAAGCAAAGAUCUGGCCCAAAUGGAGUUGGUGUUGCUGUUGGAUACCCAUCGCAUAGUGGCCCUGUAGUCAAUCCGUAUGCUUUCAGUACAACACAUUCGGACAAUGUGUGUCCUGGGGUUGCGUAAAAUGGUGCUGGAGCUGGCACUGGAUUCAGCUAUGCUUAUGGGGCUAAUCUUGGCCAUGGUAUUUUGGCUAAUGACGAUGCCAAAUGAGACAAUGUUGCGCUAGAAUGCUUCCAUUUUUGUUUUCCUUUCGUCCUUGUUUUCUUUAGCGCACAUAUGCAAUCAGUAAAAAAAGAUAAAGAAGUUUAAGCAAUACUACGUUCACAUGUCUGUGUUCUUUGAAUAAAAUUUAACAACA